rnacentral:rRNA from 1 species
UGAGUAAUAUUGAGCAAUGGGGGAAACCCUGCAGCAGCCACGCCGGGGGCCGGAAGACGGCCCUAUGGGUUGUAAACGGCUUUUGAUUGGGAAGAAGUCCCGGGUUUGGGCGUGGUUUGACAGUACCAUAGGAAUAAGCACCGGCUAACUCGGUGCCAGCAGCCGUGGUAAUACGGAGGGUGCAAGCGUUGUCAGGAAUCAUUGGGUGUAAAGGGUGCGUAGGCUGGCAUUUAAGUCUGGGGUGAAAUCUUGCCGCUUAACGGUAAAAUUGCCUUGGAUACUGGAUGUAGUGAAUGAGAGAGAGGUGGGUGGAAUUGGGGGUGUAGCGGUGAAAUGCAUAGAUAUCGGGAAACACAUCAGUGGCGAGGGCGUCCGGGCGGGUCAGUAUUGACGGUGAGGCAAGAGAGCGUGGGGAACAAACAGGAUUAGAUCCCCUGGUAGUCCACGCUGUAAACGAUGUAUGCUAGUUGUGGGCCUUCGGGUUCAGUGACGCAG